UUUGCGCAGGGGCCAUACUAAUCUUCUCUGUAUCAUUCCAAUUUUAGUAUAUGUGCUGCCGAAGCGAGCACUUUGCGGACAUUUUAAUAGUCACCGGGGAUGCAAGCAUCAGGUGACAAGGAGCGCAGACCAACAAGCUGUCAGGAGGGUGGCUUCCUGGUAGGAGGCAGCACAGGGGAGCCCUUUUCAAUGAUAUUUUAUUUCCAUCCCGUUGGCAUUGCCCACAGGGAAGAAUACCUCAGAGCACGGGCCAAGCUGUCUGCAACUCAGUGGGAAGUUGAACAAACCAAACUUUACAAAGGGAGGAAGAACGAGGUGCCCCAAAUUAUGGAGACACAGGGACUGGUUACCAAGACCAUGGACCGGAACAAGAACCUUGCUCCCCCAUUAACCAACCGCACGGCCUUGGUGUGCCUAGAUUUCCUCUUUUGUAAAGUGAGGCAUGAAGUGUCUCCCUUUGGAUGGUAGGCGAGGACCAAGAGGCCCAGCGCCUGGCGGUGAUAUGAUGCAGCUUCUGAUAGAGAAGGACAGGUCCUGGUCCUCCUGUCCUCUGGCCUGAGGGGCUGAAGGUGACUUGAGGUCCCAAGACCGUGGAGCUGGGACAUAGGUUGGCACCCCUGCACUGUUGAGAGUACAAGAACCCCAUGAGAGCCGCUCUCAGCCACAGACUCAUCCCUGUACCUUCCACGGGGUGUACGCCGGGCGUGAGCGCACCAAAGCUGCAUCCCUCCCCUGGUGUUGGUGACCCGCCCAAGCCCCUGAUUUCCCUAAAGACCGAAGUCUAAGGCCUGAGAUGGAUCCUAACGUUACAGGCACUGGCUGCAGCAAGCCUCUGACUCUGGGGCGAAUCCUCUGGGGCCUCAUCACACCCUCCCCUCCCCAAAGUCAAGGAAGCCACACCUCCUGGGCCGACUGUGAGGCUCAGUUAUCUUUAUAGGAAAUCCUGACGCUUUCCUGCGAAACCCUGUGGUUGGAAUAAAAGAUGUUCCAGAAUUUUGUUAUGCCA
rnacentral:antisense_RNA from 1 species